rnacentral:rRNA from 1 species
CCUACGUGAGGCAGCAGUGGGGAAUUUUGGACAAUGGGCGCAAGCCUGAUCCAGCCAUGCCGCGUGUGGGAAGAAGGCCUUCGGGUUGUAAACCACUUUUGUCAGGGAAGAAACGGCUUUUUCUAAUACAGAGAGCUAAUGACGGUACCUGAAGAAUAAGCACCGGCUAACUACGUGCCAGCAGCCGCGGUAAUACGUAGGGUGCAAGCGUUAAUCGGAAUUACUGGGCGUAAAGCGUGCGCAGGCGGCUUUGCAAGACAGAUGUGAAAUCCCCGGGCUCAACCUGGGAACUGCAUUUGUGACUGCAUGGCUAGAGUACGGUAGAGGGGGAUGGAAUUCCGCGUGUAGCAGUGAAAUGCGUAGAUAUGCGGAGGAACACCGAUGGCGAAGGCAAUCCCCUGGACCUGUACUGACGCUCAUGCACGAAAGCGUGGGGAGCAAACAGGAUUAGAUACCCUGGUAGUCCACGCCCUAAACGAUGUCAACUGGUUGUUGGACGGCUUGCUGUUCNGUAACGAAGCUAACGCGUGAAGUUGACCGCCUGGGGAGUCGGCCGCAAGGUUGAAACUCAAAGGAUUGACGG